rnacentral:rRNA from 1 species
UGAGGGAAUAUUGGGUCAAUGGGCGAGAGCCUGAACCAGCCAAGUCGCGUGAAGGAAUACGGCCCUAUGGGUCUUAAACUUCUUUUGUAUAGGGGUAAAGGUAUGUACGUGUACAUAUUUGCAAGUACUAUACGAAUAAGGAUCGGCUAACUCCGUGCCAGCAGCCGCGGUAAUACGGAGGAUCCGAGCGUUAUCCGGAUUUAUUGGGUUUAAAGGGUGCGCAGGCGGACUCGUCAAGUCAGCGGUAAAAAUUCGGGGCUCAACCCCGUCCUGCCGUUGAAACUGCGAGACUGGAGUGCGACAGAGGAAGGCGGAAUGCGAGGUGUAGCGGUGAAAUGCAUAGAUAUCGCGCAGAACUCCGAUUGCGAAGGCAGCCUUCCAUGUCGUGACUGACGCUGAGGCACGAAAGCGUGGGGAUCGAACAGGAUUAGAUACCCUGGUAGU